rfam:Phlebotomus papatasi Contig118.13, whole genome shotgun sequence.
GUCGCCGAGCAUGGAUCUGGUGCGCGGUUUUAUAGGCUCGUGACUAGAUUACAUGCUCGUCUACG